CCAGUGAAGACGAAAUCUGCACGGAAAAGGAUAAGUUUUGCCCAAAUGGUACGAAACCGUGCUGCCUAACUCUCUAUUCAGAAGUGCGCCUGACAUCAGAGAAAGUUCACAUAAAAGAAAAAUGUGUGCCCGAAGGUACACCCUGCGAUAACAGACAGGUUGGUUGGCCGCUAAGUGAGUGCCCUAAGCCCCAGUCUGACUAUACCAUCGAGUGUUCGGUAACAGGAUGGACAAGUGGAAUAUGCAUGUGCGAAUGCGUGCACAAAUAUACAGAUCCAUUUGAUUGACUACUUAUGGAGAGAGUGGACGAUAACAGAACACGUCCACAUUGAAGACUUACACAGAAAAUAUUGUGCAUACGUCUCGAAGCUCCACCCAAGAAACCAUGUGUUGAAUAU